UACGUAGGGCGCAAGCGUUGUCCGGAAUUAUUGGGCGUAAAGAGCUCGUAGGCGGCUGUUCAAGUCGAACGUGAAAACUCGGAGCUCAACUCCGAGCCUGCGUUCGAUACUGGACGGCUAGAGUCUGGUAGGGGGAUCUGGAAUUCCCGGUGGUAGCGGUGAAAUGCGCAGAUAUCGGGAAGAACACCCGUGGCGAAGGCGGUUCUCUGGGACGGUACUGACGCUGAGACGCGAAAGCGUGGGGAGCGAACAGG
rnacentral:rRNA from 1 species